rnacentral:rRNA from 1 species
AGGACGAACGCUGGCGGCGUGCUUAACACAUGCAAGUCGAGCGGUAAGGCCUUUCGGGGUACACGAGCGGCGAACGGGUGAGUAACACGUGGGUGAUCUGCCCUGCACUCUGGGAUAAGCCUGGGAAACUGGGUCUAAUACCGGAUAUGACCUGCUCUCGCAGUGGGGGGUGGGUAGGAAAGAUUUUAUCGGUGACAGGAUGGGCCCGCGGCCUAUCAGUCUUGGUUGGGUAGGGGUAAUCGGCCUACCGAAGGCGACGGACGGGUAGCCGACCGUGAGAGGGUGACCGGCCACACGUGGGACUGGAGACGACGGCCCAGACCU